rnacentral:pre_miRNA from 1 species
CUUGGCACAUUGGAAUUGGCACCAAAUCCAAAGUGGCAAAUUCAAUGUGACAAAU